rnacentral:tRNA from 1 species
GGGUGUAUAGCUCAGUGGUAGAGUAUGUGCUUAACAUGGAUGAGGCCCUGAGUUCAAUCCCCAGUACUGCCA